UACGGAGGGUGCUAGCGUUAUCCGGAAUUAUUGGGCGUAAAGGGUGCGUAGGCGGUGAAUCAAGUAAGGUGUCAAGGUGUAGAGCUUAACCAUAUAAGUGCCUUGUAGACUGAUAGACUAGAGUACAGGAGGGGUGAGGAGAAUUCCCAGUGUAGGGGUGAAAUCCGUAGAUAUUGGGAAGAACACCAGUGGCGAAGGCGGGUCUCUGGACUGAGACUGACGCUGAGGCACGAAAGCUAGGGGAGCAAAACGG
rnacentral:rRNA from 1 species